AUGCCAGCCUCUUACUGAUUUUUCCAUAGGGAGGAUACGUGACAUAUCUUAUUAGAAUUUAGAACUCUAUUUUUUCUUCCUUCUGUUACUGUCCCCAACAUGGUUACAUUUGGCUCUGUUCUCCCGUGCUGUUAUUUUAUAGAAGCACACUUCCGUGUGGGGAGGUCUGUGGUGUCUGAUGUUCUCUGUGUCUCAGUGGACAAAUCUGCGGAAUUCUCACAUUAAUUAUUAGGAAGCUUACUUGCCGGUGGAUAAAAACCCUGCCAUCUUCGAUCAGCUUUAUUGGUAAUGAAGGGAGAUAUGAGACAUCAAUCAACAUAUGUAAGAUGUACAUUGGUUCCGUCCAGAAAGGUGGGACAACUCAAGCAGGGAGGGGACUUCCAGGUCACAG
rnacentral:lncRNA from 1 species